rnacentral:lncRNA from 10 species
GGACAUUAAGACAGAAAGCACACUAAUAGGAGAAUGAAAACAUCUAUUUCCCAGGUAGGGUUGAUUUAUGACUGCAGGAUGGUGUCUUGACCACCUACUGCCUUUAUUGAUGGAAAGUAACACCCCUCAAAGAACCUUCCAUGUAUUUAUGGGUGUUUUUCAGGAAUGGAAGACACCACUGUCUGCUUUUCCCAAAUUCAUUCCCCCAUCCAACCCCAACACCAGUACAUGUCCCCAAGUCCAGGUAUU